rnacentral:rRNA from 1 species
GACGAACGCUAGCGACAGGCUUAACACAUGCAAGUCGAGGGGCAACACAGGUAUCAAUACCGGGGGGCGACCGGCGCACGGGUGAGUAACGCGUAUGCAACUUACCUAUCAGAGGGGGAUAACCCGGCGAAAGUCGGACUAAUACCGCAUGAAGCAGCGGCCCCGCAUGGGGAUGUUUGCUAAAGAUUCAUCGCUGAUAGAUAGGCAUGCGUUCCAUUAUGCUGGUGGCGGGGUUACGGCACACCAGACCGGCGAUGGAUAGGGGUUCUGAGAGGAAGGUCCCCCACGGUGGUACGGCGACACUGACCAAACUCCUACGGGCGGCAGCAGUGAGGAGUAUUGGUCAAUGGACGAUGGGCUGAACCAGCCAAGUCGCGUGAGGGAGGAAGGUUCUAUGGAUAGUAAACCUCUGUUAUAAGCGGAUAUAGUGCGGGACGAGGCCCGUUUUGUAGGUACCUUAUGAAUAAGGAUCGGCUAACUACGUG